rnacentral:rRNA from 1 species
UACAGAGGGGGCAAGCGUUAUUCGGAAUUAUUGGGCGUAAAGGGCGCGUAGGCGGCCUGGCAAGUGGAAGGUGAAAUCCCUCGGCUUAACCGAGGAACUGCCCUCCAAACUGCUUGGCUUGAGACCGGGAGAGGUGAGUGGAAUUCCCAGUGUAGCGGUGAAAUGCGUAGAUAUUGGGAGGAACACCAGUGGCGAAGGCGGCUCUCUGGGACGGUACUGA